rnacentral:rRNA from 1 species
UAUCCAUUAUGGAAAAUUCAACAUUAAUAUUAUAAUAUUUAUUUAUAUAAAUAUUAUAAAAAUAGUGUGCAAUUUUUCCAUAUGAAGGACAUUGUAAUCUGUUAAUGUAAUAAAUAUUUAUCAUAAGAUUUAAUAAAAAUAAAAGUUUAUUCAAAUUAGUUAUUUUUCGAAAUUUCUAACAUAGAAUAAAUUUACUAAUUAAAUUUGAUAAAUCAUUGACAGAUUUAUUUAUAUAUAGUGCUCAAAAUUCUUAAUUGAAUUUUACAAUAAUUUUUAAAUGUAUUUUCAUUUAUUUAUUUAUUGUAUGCUCUUAUAUGAUUAACAAUGCUAUAGAUUCAGGAUACCUUCGGGACCCGUCUUGAAACACGGACCAAGGAGUCUAACAUAUGUGCAAGUCAUUGGGUAUUUUUAAUAAAACCCAAAGGCAUAAUUAACUUAACUGUUUUUGAAAUAUAUAUAUAUGGGAUUAGUUUAUAUUUUAUUAUGAAAUAUUAAUUCAAUCCCGGGGCGUUCUAUAUAGUUAUGUAUAAUAAUAUUUAUAUUAUUUAUACCUCUAACUAGAGCGUACCUUGAGCAAAUAUGC